rnacentral:rRNA from 1 species
AGUGAACGCUGGCGGUAGGCCUAACACAUGCAAGUCGAACGGCAGCACAGUAAGAGCUUGCUCUUACGGGUGGCGAGUGGCGGACGGGUGAGGAAUACAUCGGAAUCUACUUUUUCGUGGGGGAUAACGUAGGGAAACUUACGCUAAUACCGCAUACGACCUACGGGUGAAAGCAGGGGAUCUUCGGACCUUGCGCGAUUGAAUGAGCCGAUGUCGGAUUAGCUAGUUGGCGGGGUAAAGGCCCACCAAGGCGACGAUCCGUAGCUGGUCUGAGAGGAUGAUCAGCCAAACUGGAACUGAGACACGGUCCAGACUCCUAGGGGAGGCAGCAGUGGGGAAUAUUGGACAAUGGGCGGAAGCCUGAUCCAGCCAUACCGCGUGGGUGAAGAAGGCCUUCGGGUUGUAAAGCCCUUUUGUUGGGAAAGAAAAGCAGCAGGUUAAUACCCCGCUGUUCUGACGGUACCCAAAGAAUAAGCACCGGCUAACUUCGUG